UAAUGUGCUUGCUUUUUAAAAAUGCCACCGCCUCCGGCUCAGAAGAUUUCUUUUGUGAUCACUUGGACUGAGGAGGAGGAGGAAGGGCAGCAGCGGCAGGAGGAGGAGUUGGUGGUGGUUUUGUUAGUUACAAAGAAGGAGAAGGAGCAAGGGGGGGGAAGAAAAGGAAACAGAAAAGGAAGAAAGGCGGUGUGGAUGGCAGAGCAUGUGCGUUUUCACAUGACAUCUGUGCCUGUUAGCGGAUCCAGUGAAUUUUCACUGUUCAGUUACAGGGAGGAAGGGAGCGAGAGAGAAAGAGAGGAGAGAGAUGGAGAGAGAGAGAGCCGAGAAGGCGCUUAUACGCGAGGGCGGGCUUGGCCGGGACUUCCAGGCCCCGCCUCCUGUCAGCGCCGCCGCCAAUCAGAGCCCGGCAGAGCUUGGAGGGGGCGGGGACCACGGGGGAGGGGACGCGAUUCCCGGAGCGGGGCGGGGGGUUGCAGCCUGGAGCCCGAAGACGGCCGGAGCUGAAACCGGUCACUAGACACUGUCCGAACUGGGCAGAGGAGGGGGAAGCGCCCAGAGAGUGGGGCAGACCUGCAGGACAUUUUUAUUAGCACUUGGAGGAUCUCCUGGCAUUGGGCUACCCUAUUCAAGGAUAACAGCCUCAGUGGACAUUGUGGCCACCUCAGUGAUGCAAGGGAAAUGGCUGAGGCCAGAGUGAAGAUUGAAAUGGAUAAAGAAAACAGAAGUGAAGGCA